rnacentral:rRNA from 1 species
CGGGACGGGUGGGUAAUGUCUGGGAAACGUGCCUGAUGAGGGGGAGUAACUACUGGAAACGGUAGCUAAUACCGCAUAACGUCGCAAGACCAAAGAGGGGGACCUUCGGGCCUCUUGCCAUCGGAUGUGCCCAGAUGGGAUUAGCUAGUAGGUGGGGUAACGGCUCACCUAGGCGACGAUCCCUAGCUGGUCUGAGAGGAUGACCAGCCACACUGGAACUGAGACACGGUCCAG